CCUACGGGAGGCAGCAGUGGGGAAUUUUGGACAAUGGACGAAAGUCUGAUCCAGCCAUGCCGCGUGCGGGAAGAAGGCCUUCGGGUUGUAAACCGCUUUUGUCAGGGAAGAAAUCCUUUGAGUUAAUACCUCGGGGGGAUGACGGUACCUGAAGAAUAAGCACCGGCUAACUACGUGCCAGCAGCCGCGGUAAUACGUAGGGUGCAAGCGUUAAUCGGAAUUACUGGGCGUAAAGCGUGCGCAGGCGGUUAUAUAAGACAGAGGUGAAAUCCCCGGGCUCAACCUGGGAACUGCCUUUGUGACUGUAUAGCUUGAGUGCGGCAGAGGGGGAUGGAAUUCCGCGUGUAGCAGUGAAAUGCGUAGAUAUGCGGAGGAACACCGAUGGCGAAGGCAAUCCCCUGGGCCUGCACUGACGCUCAUGCACGAAAGCGUGGGGAGCAAACAGGAUUAGAUACCCUGGUAGUCCACGCCCUAAACGAUGUCAACUGGUUGUUGGGAAGGUUCCUUCUCAGUAACGUAGCUAACGCGUGAAGUUGACCGCCUGGGGAGUACGGCCGCAAGGUUGAAACUCAAAUGAAUUGACGGCUGAAGAGCGACGAGACGACGAGAGGAGGAG
rnacentral:rRNA from 1 species